rnacentral:rRNA from 1 species
UACGAAGGGUGCAAACGUUGCUCGGAAUCAUUGGGCGUAAAGCGCACGUAGGCGGCCUCAAAAGUCGGAUGUGAAAUCCCGUGGCUCAACCCCGAGACGCCACUCGAUACUGCCAUGGCUUGAGUCCGGUAGGGGAGCAGGGAAUUCCUGGUGUAGCGGUGAAAUGCGCAGAUAUCAGGAGGAACACCGGUGGCGAAGGCGGGUCUCUGGGCCGAUACUGACGCUGAGGAGCGAAAGCGUGGGGAGCGAACAGG